rnacentral:rRNA from 1 species
GACGUAGGGGGCAAGCGUUGUUCGGAAUUACUGGGCGUAAAGGGUUCGUAGGCGGUGCGGCAAGUCGGGAGUGAAAUCUCUGGGCUUAACCCAGAGGCUGCUUCCGAAACUGCUGUGCUUGAGUGUGGGAGAGGCGCGUGGAAUUGCAGGUGUAGCGGUGAAAUGCGUAGAUAUCUGCAGGAACACCCGUGGCGAAAGCGGCGCGCUGGACCACUACUGACGCUGAGGAACGAAAGCUAGGGGAGCAAACAGG